rnacentral:rRNA from 1 species
ACCAGACUCCUACGGGAGGCAGCAGUGGGGAAUAUUGCACAAUGGGGGGAAACCCUGAUGCAGCAACGCCGCGUGAGUGAAGAAGUAUUUCGGUAUGCAAAGCUCUAUCAGCAGGGAAGAAAAUGACGGUACCUGAGUAAGAAGCCCCGGCUAACUACGUGCCAGCAGCCGCGGUAAUACGUAGGGGGCAAGCGUUAUCCGGAUUUACUGGGUGUAAAGGGAGCGUAGACGGCGAUACAAGUCUGAAGUGAAAGCCCGGGGCUUAACCCCGGAACUGCUUUGGAAACUGUGCAGCUAGAGUGCAGGAGAGGUAAGUGGAAUUCCUAGUGUAGCGGUGAAAUGCGUAGAUAUUAGGAGGAACACCAGUGGCGAAGGCGGCUUACUGGACUGUAACUGACGUUGAGGCUCGAAAGCGUGGGGAGCAAACAGGAUUAGAUACCCGUGUA